UCCACACACAGGGCAGUCAAGGUGAGUGU
rnacentral:piRNA from 1 species